UAGAGGCUGGCGACCGGCAAACGGGUGCGGAACACGUACACAACCUUCCUUGAAUAGGGGGAUAGCCCAUAGAAAUGUGGAUUAAUACCCCGUAAUAUAUCGGUGUGGCAUCACACUGUUAUUAUAGUUUCGGCGAUUCGAGAUGGGUGUGCGGCUGAUUAGGUAGUUGGCGGGGUAAAGGCCCACCAAGCCUUCGAUCAGUAGCUGAUGUGAGAGCAUGAUCAGCCACACGGGCACUGAAACACGGGCCCGACUCCUACGGGAGGCAGCAGUAAGGAAUAUUGGUCAAUGGACGCAAGUCUGAACCAGCCAUGCCGCGUGAAGGAUGAAGGUCCUCUGGAUUGUAAACUUCUUUUAUAGGGGGCGAAAAAAGGUCUUUCUAGAUCACUUGACAGUACCCUAUGAAUAAACACCGGCUAACUCCGUGCCAGCAGCCGCGGUAAUACGGAGGGUGCAAGCGUUAUCCGGAUUCACUGGGUUUAAAGGGUGCGUACGCGGGUAGGUAAGUCAGAGGUGAAAUCCUGGAGCUUAACUCCAGAACUGCCUUUGAUACUAUCUAUCUUGAAUAUGGUGGAGGUAAGCGGAAUAUGUCAUGUAGCGGUGAAAUGCAUAUAUAUGACAUAAAACACCUAUUGCGAAGGCAGCUUACUACGCCUAUAUUGACGCUGACGCACGAAAGCGUGGGG
rnacentral:rRNA from 1 species